rnacentral:tRNA from 1 species
UUAAUUGAAACCAAAAUAGAGGUAAAUUAUUGUUAAUAAUUUUAGUGAGUAUAUUCCAAUUAAU